AAACAACAGAGCAAGUGAACUUAAAUAAGACGUAAUUUACUGGGGCUACAAAUACAACGAACAGCCGCCCAUAACAAUGAGAAUAAGCCAAGUACAAUAGAAAAUGACAAGAAAAUAUGUCAUGGAAACUUUAAUGUUACGAGUGUAUUAGAUCUGAAAGAAUCAAACUCAAUUGUCACCAUAGGCUUUGGGAUCUCGCCGUUGACAAUUUCCUGAUGAGCGACUUCUUAUAUCCAGCAAAUAAGUAAAAUUCUUGCUUUUCUUACGUGAGUAAAAUACUUCUUGUUAACAUGUGAAUUAAGAAAAAUGUCAAAGCUUUCACUCACAUUCUCCAUAAGUACUUUAUCCAAAUCCACUACACUUUCCACCAUUAUCAAUAAUAUAUAUUUAUGUGUUUGAAAAGAAAAUGGAUGAUAAAAUCAACUAACUCGAGAUAUCUUAUAGCCUUUAGUUGAAGUUUAGCAUAAGGUGUUCUUUUGAGCUAUCGCAGUUUUUGUUUCUAAGUGCAUCAAGAUAACUACAAUAUCUGAAACCAUAUAAGCCUAUAGAUGAUUACAAGUCACUAAUAAAAGGGAAAAAUAUCAUAUGAUCUUCAAAAAUUGCCUUUCGUAUCCGGCUACAUCGACACAGCCCUUCGGAUACAGAAGGAGUAUUCUGCUGUAAUUGCAAGUUUUCCGCAACAUUAUCCUCAAUUGAAGAGUGACAAAUAGAUUUUGUUAUAGUUAUAAAUCUUAAAGAAAUAGAGAGGAAAGUUUCAUUUUGAAUAUGCUAGCAAGAGAAGCAAAGAGAAAAGAAAAAAUGGAACGCUUAGAAUCCUAUUAAAAGAUCGAC